UACGGAGGGCGCAAGCGUUGUUCGGAAUCACUGGGCGUAAAGCGCGUGUAGGCGGCUUUCUAAGUCUGUUGUGAAAGCCCUGGGCUCAACUCAGGAAGUGCAUUGGAUACUGGAUAGCUGGAGUACCGGAGAGGAGGGUGGAAUUCCUGGUGUAGCGGUGAAAUGCGUAGAUAUCAGGAGGAACACCGGUGGCGAAGGCGACCCGCUGGCGGGAUACUGACGCUGAGACGCGAAAGCGUGGGGAGCAAACAGG
rnacentral:rRNA from 1 species